GUUGCCUGCACGAAGAGAAAUCGGUGAGUUCAUUGGCAAGAUGAUUAUUAUUGAAAGUUUAAUGUUUGUUUUAAAUGCCAGUUACCGUAGAAGAUAUUUUAUAAAUUGUUAUGUGAAUAAUAUUAUUUAUAAACUAAUUUUUUUCAAGUGCACAGGUUUUACUGAGCGAAGGACUUCCGCGCAUUGAUCGAAUCUGCGAGCCGCAUAAGCUUCAAGCUUUCAUUCAGUUCCCACAUUGGCUAUCCAAUUUCUACACUCUCCACAUAGGCGGCUUUUGAUUGUGCACCACAUGGUGGAGGGGGCAAAUCAAGUAUCAAAACUGCGAAAAAGUGCGACGUUUUAUGGCUCAAUGGGUCGCGCGGCGUCAACAAGUCAACGUUGCGGUCAAUCGCAGCACAUUACUCAUACGCCGUGUGGCCGGGGCAGGCAAAGAGCUUAAAUCACUGCGUGUCGGCCAUUUCGCGUGUGUGCGAUUGUGUGAGUUAGGUUAUGGUCAGGGUUAUUAUCCCUUUGGGGCCACUUGCGACUCAUCAGCCCAUAGACAUGUGCGGCUCAUCAAUAAGGGCGAACAUAAAAGGGGAAGUAGCUGCGUCGAUGGGUCGAUGGCAGUCAUUAAAUCACUGCAGAAGCACACAAAAUCACGACCGAUGUAUGGAUUGGUUCAAGGUUAUCAAUGCGUAAACAUUUUCCGGGCCUUUUAAGGAUGUGGGUGUUAACUAAGCGGCACGGAAUUCAGCCAUUUGUGUUUUGAUUAUAAAAUGUAGUAUUGUUGAUAAAUGUCUUAUAUUUCUACUUUUACUUAGCUCCAGGGAAAUAAAUUAAAUGGUUUCUGUAACACGUGCUCCAUAAUAAUAAGUCAACAUGAAUACGCCCAGGAACAAGUUGAAGACCUUUUUAAGAAACAAAUGCAUUAAAAAUGGACAUUAAAAGCGAAUAAUAUCAACAGGCUGGGACCAAGAAACCCAUGCACCAAUUCCACAACACGUUCACGUGCUUUUGGGCAUUCGGAAUGGAUGGAAAACCGGCAACGGAAGUUCGUUUUAAUGAAGAUUAACCACGCACAAAAGAUAACGAUGCCGCGGAUGGAAACGUAUAUGGAUGAAAUCUACAUAUCAUAUUAUAUAUGCAGACACACGAUUCGAAAGACGCCGGCCGAGUUGCGAGUUGGCUAAAAGGAAUUCCAAGCACAGGAAGUCGUCCUUGGCACCUGACCAACGGAAUAUGGAAAUGAGCGAGGAAACCCAAUUUCUAUUAAGUUAAUGCUCACUCGGCUAUUAUGGCCACCUUUUGUUGGCGUGAAAAGCUUUAGAAAAUCAAUGUCAAUGGUGCCAGGGCCAGAUGGGUGUUGAAAAUGGAAUGCUCCUUUGAUCCACUCCAGAUUCAUUCAGCCUGACAUUCUCAGCCACAAAUUACCAAUUAUGCCAACACUCUCCUCUUAAUAUGUAUUUUUAUAUACAUGUAUGUACACGAAACUUUUAUUUUUGUUCUGUGUGAUUUGUUCAUUACACAAGCCAUGCAUAAUAAAUGAUUUUUGCGUACAAUCUGCAUUUCAAUUUUGACAACAAAAAGGGAUUACUGGCUUUGCCAUUCAAAUAAAAUUUAUCUUUGGCCUGGAGUCUGUAAAUAAAUCGAGUGUAAUACAAUAUUGAAUGAGUCAAUUUUGAAGCUUAGCAAAUGGAACCAUUUUUUAUGUGUGUCAAAGUGGAUCAAAGGAUAAUUCCAUAGGAAAAUAUAUUUCGUAGUUUUCUAAGCAAACAGAUGUUGCAGUUGGCUGUUGAACUAUAGCAAACAGACUGCUUCCAUUUUGAUGUAUUCUAGUGUAGAAAUAAAAAUCUGGAAGCUGAAUAAUCCAGUAAACAGUUGUAAAACAAAAUGACCAUUGUAAAGGAAAUUCGAUAAGACUGUGAGAAAAGGAAAUGCUUACAAAUGGAAAAGCUGACAGGAAAGGGACUCUCAUAGUUUUACAGUGUAUGGGAUGCCUUAUAAAUCAAUUGUAAUAAAUUACGUUGUGCUGAAUUCUUAAAUAAAAAGUCUCUAAUUAAAACUGGA